UACGGAGGGUGCAAGCGUUAUCCGGAUUUAUUGGGUUUAAAGGGUCCGCAGGCGGAAAAUUAAGUCAGUGGUGAAAUCCUACAGCUUAACUGUAGAACUGCCAUUGAUACUGAUUUUCUUGAGUAUAGUUGAAGUGGGCGGAAUGUGUCAUGUAGCGGUGAAAUGCAUAGAUAUGACACAGAACACCGAUUGCGAAGGCAGCUCACUAAACUACAACUGACGCUGAUGGACGAAAGCGUGGGUAGCGAAAGGG
rnacentral:rRNA from 1 species